GGGGAGAGGGAGGGACCCUAGAUAUCAGAGCUUGAGAUUAACUGUAGUCUCCCGAACAGUGGUUUUAAAGCUGUCCUGUGAAUGGGUGUUCCCCUGGGGGUUGUCAGCAGUUUAGACUUGUGAAGCCUCACCACCCUGCCAAAGACCUUGACCUGACCUUCAUCAAAGCUGCUGCAGGUCCAUCAGCUUCGUUCCCCUGGAACUAAAGAGCCUUGUAAGAACUUCACGAGGACCAUUCAUCCAGGGAGUCCUCAACCUCAGUUCUCACAGACAGAAGAUGGAGAUCUGAGAGGCUUACAGGAGAAAAAGUUAAGGAGCCCGUCAAGAAGAGGAUGGACAGACCAAAGAAAACAGCCCACGGCAGCAGACACCUGAGAUACAGGGCUGUUCGAGACUGGGGCAGAACAUGGCUUUCCUCAUUGGACCCUGAGACAAGGAGAUGCCCUCUGGCCCCAGAGAGCACCCCAGCUGAGCCCACGUGGUGCAGAAGUCCCCAGGAGGCUGACCAGGGAAACCCGUGGACCAUCUCACCUCCACAGAGUGACUUUUCCUGUUAACUCCCAGACUCCAGGCCAACUGGAACCUGGCUCAUUAGCGCCGUGCAACCAAACAGCAGCUGGGGAGGAGGUCUCUCUGGUACAUGAUUUUCUUUCUCUCUCAGCCACAGAACUUCCUCCAAGGAACAGGCACUCAACCUUCCGUUCUCAGAAGCGAAAACAAGCCGAGUCACACAUUUCUAUGAAUUCGCUCAGAAAGCCGAUGAUCAGUAAUAACACUAAACACGAGCGUCAGACUCAUCACAGAUCUCACCUGGAAGGGAGCCUCCCGGGGAAGAGGGGAGCUCCCGUCUCAGCUAAGUCACCAUCUCAGUGGGGACAAGGAAGAGGAGGGGGUCAUUCAUCUCUUGCAAAGAGUAUAGACCAGGGCUCAGGAAGGUCAUGGUCUUCUCCCAGCCCCACCGCCCCGCUGUGGCUCAGGCAGGGCUUGCUCUGUGAAUGGGAAACUGAAAGCUCUGGGCCAGAGGGUUCUUAGCUGUCAUGAUAGGUCCCAGGUUGGUGGAUGACCGAUUGAAAUAAAGUGUUUCUACAAUGGGAGUGGUACCUCCA
rnacentral:lncRNA from 1 species